CCCAAAUGAUGAGAUUCCACUUCAUUGGUCCGUGUUUCUGAGACACAUGAUAUAAAGUGGAAGUUCUGAUCGG
rfam:Picoides pubescens contig66867, whole genome shotgun sequence.